CCGCGCGCCCGCCCCUUCUCUGGAUGCUGCCAGAGCAAACCGGGCGCAGACUUCCCUCAGCCCUCCCCUCUCUCUCCCCGCACCCCGCCAACCCGGAUGUGUGGGAGGGCAAAAGUCCAAGGUGGUCCCACGUAGCGGAGAGGCCGAUGCCCCUUCCCAACCUGGCGACCAUGGUGACUCCACGUCCUGCCAGGCACAGUGUGAGUGCUGCGUGCCAGGGGCCCCCUCGGAGCCCGCUGCUGCCAUCCCCCUGCUCCCAUCCCAGUCUCCGUGGAGGAGCCCUUCACCCCCAAGAAUUUGACUCGCCCCUUGAUUUGAUUUUAUUCCCUUCCACUUCUUGCCUGAGCAUCUUCUAUUGCCCCUAACCACACUUAGCCUUCCCAGCUGGAGAAGGAGAGAAAGAGAAGAGGAAAACUGCCCCCAGACAGGAUGGCUUGCAGAAGACGCUAUUUAUAUCCAAAGGAAUCCCCUCGCAGUGGAAGGCCACCCUCAGAGAAUCAGCAAAUCCUCCUCCCUGAGUUUGGGCGGGGUCAGAAUGUUCUCCUCGUCGGAGGUCAGCUGGGACGACUUUGGAUGGUGGAGACCCUGGGGCAGAGGGCAGGGGACACAGCCCCACUGACCCAGAGCCCCCAAGAGGAAGGAUGACAGCACCCCACUCUGAUGCUCAAGGGCAGCGACGAGGGGUGAGCCCAGACCCCGCCCUCGCUGGGUGCUUUUUCCCUGACAGCCUGGCAGAGCGGUCAGGAGCACGGACCUGGGGAACUGUUGCUCACGUGGCAGCUGUGACACGGCUCACAGCUGGUGCGUGUGGGCCUGGUGUGGAGUAGGCAUGGGGUAGAAUGGUGCCCAACACCUCCUCCCUUGUCCUCAUUUCUGCCCCAAAUGGAGAAACUUCUGGAGCCCUAACAAUGGCCAAACGUUCGCUGUCCCUACCACUAGGACUGUCAGUCCAGCCUCUUGGGUCAGCAUCGUGUGUACCCAGAGCCAUAAAAACAUUCCUGCCUGUGACCCAGAAAUUCCAGGAAGGGUCCUAAAGGCACAUGACGGCUGUGCACACAGACCGCACUGAUGGGACGCUCCCGAGGCCCCGUUUCGGAGGAGACGGGAGAUGGAGCCAAGCCACACCCAUCCGACGGCGGGGAAGUGCACGGGAGUUCCACCAGCUUUCAAAGGGGUGGCUGGAGGGAUGUUUGAAGACCUAAAAACACACAUUUAGAGGAGGGCCUGGCCAUAAAACAUCCUCAAAUAGUAACACUGGUCAGUCCCCAGGGAGUCGGGGAUGGUGGGUGAUUUUACUUUCCUUGUUGUGUGCCGCUGUUACUUUCCACAGUUGAUACCGUGACUGUGUGUUACUUAUUUAAUAAGAGCAAGGGGGAGAGUGUAACAGAGGUAUGUGGCCUCCCCUGUCCCUUGGAAAUGGAGGCCAGUUCCACAAAUAACCCACUCCAGGCCUGUAACAGCCUGGAGCUACCUUGCUGCGAGCCCCCUCUAGGGUCCUGCCCUCACCCCAGACAAGACUUAGCCACCCACCGCUUGCUACAAAUGAGCCUACUCUAGAAGCUCCUGCGGGCUUUGAGCUGCCUCCCCAGGUUGGGGCUAGGCGGAGGGGUCCCAUCACAUGCCACGCGGCCACCCAUGCCUCCCUUCUCCUCAUUCUGUCCCUGCUCUUUAUUUCCUCUUCAGUCCUUCUCAGGAGCGAACAAAGCCAUCCUCUGGCCCGAGACACAACAGCUCAGAGCCAGCUGGGGCAGCCCAGACCUGCCCCGGGGCCCUCCAGGUAUUCUUUCCAGAAAGCAUGGAGUGCCUAGAAUUCUUACAGAAGCAAAUGUGUUCUUUUUAAAACUGACGGAACUUUCUAAGCCUGGAGGGCCCCAGGGGAUUUGCGGGUUCCCUAUUAGACCCAUCUGGGGAGCUUUGAAAAACGAAGGUGCACACGAACAGACAUGUCAUUGAGGGAGAUACACAGAUGGCAGACAAACACGUGCAAAGACGGUCAACAUCAUUAGCCAUCAGUGAAAUGCAAACUAAAACCAGUGAGAUAUCAGUGUGUAUCUGUCAGAAUGGC